rnacentral:ncRNA from 1 species
UAUCUGGUUGAUCCUGCCAGUAGUCAUAUGCUUGUCUCAAAGAUUAAGCCAUGCAUGUCUAAGUAUAAGCACUUGUACUGUGAAACUGCGAAUGGCUCAUUAAAUCAGUUAU